UAACCGAGUUUGAGGAGCCGCGAAAAAGCUCUCCCAGCAAAGCCGAAGAGUGCAGCUCCGGUCAGGCGCGAAGACGAGGAAACGCGACGAGACGCGAAGCUUCGCGCCAUACAACCCUGUCCAUGGGGACUGCUUUUACACGGAAGAAGGUACAGCGGGCCCCAAAAGAAAGGGAAAAAAAAUUUGAAAAGGA